rnacentral:rRNA from 1 species
UACGUAGGGUGCGAGCGUUGUCCGGAUUUAUUGGGCGUAAAGAGCUCGUAGGCGGUUUGUCGCGUCGGUCGUGAAAUCUCCACGCUUAACGUGGAGCGUGCGGUCGAUACGGGCAGACUUGAGUUCGGUAGGGGAGACUGGAAUUCCUGGUGUAGCGGUGAAAUGCGCAGAUAUCAGGAGGAACACCGAUGGCGAAGGCAGAUCUCUGGGCCGUAACUGACGCUGAGGAGCGAAAGCAUGGGGAGCGAACAGG